AUACGGAGGGGGUUAGCGUUGUUCGGAAUUACUGGGCGUAAAGCGCACGUAGGCGGACUGAUCAGUUAGAGGUGAAAUCCCAGGGCUCAACCCUGGAACUGCCUUUAAUACUGUCAGUCUAGAGAUCGAGAGAGGUGAGUGGAAUUCCGAGUGUAGAGGUGAAAUUCGUAGAUAUUUGGAGGAACACCAGUGGCGAAGGCGGCUCACUGGCUCGAUACUGACGCUGAGGUGCGAAAGCGUGGGGAGCAAACAGGAUUAGAAACCCUAGUAGUCC
rnacentral:rRNA from 1 species